ensembl:lncRNA
GACAAAUAUAGUUGGCACUAGUUGCUAUAACUCCAGUGCUUGAUCCUAAAUACAUUAGUUUGGAUUACAUGUUUUAUAAAGUUAAAUAAAGGUGAAAUAAGAAAAUAAACAUGGAUAUGAUGAAUGUAAAUGAAUUAGUUGGACGACAUCAAACAAAUCUGACGGAAGAUAUUUCAUACAGAAAGCAACAUUUAUUCAGACAUGCUUUAUGAAGCCACAUGUUAAACCGUGUCAAAAUGUCUACGGGCGUAUAAACCUUAUCAGUCCAAUUAUUAGUAAGAGCAUUUGUACAAUGACAUAUAAUACAUAACAAUAUUACAAAGCUCAACAUACAUUUGCAACUCAGCUACAGCUAUAAGCCAGUUUGAGGGGAUAAAUCUAUUGUUUUUCUACAAUGACGGACCAACCAACCACAAGGAGUGUGUGACAAGAUUAAUAACUUAAAUAUUAAGUAGAAAAUGUGUUAUGUGCAAUUUGAUAUUCAAAAUAACAAUAGAUGAAUUAACAUAGUAUCUACCGUUAGACCUAAUAGUACAACUUUAAACUUUAAAAAUAUAAAACUAAUCAUGUUUACAUAUUUUACUUCCUAAAGUCUUGGACAAGGCAUUAUCAUCCUUGCUGUGCAUUUGUAAAGGACAAAUGUUAGGUAGGAACCACAUUUGAGUUCACAUCAAAAUGGAUCAGAUCCUUCUGUUUCAAUUGGUCAAUACCCAAUACCCUCAAAUCUAUGAAGCAGACCAAGGUUAAACCUAAUGCUAAGAUAAAAUAAGAAAAUACUUGACAAAACAAGAUUUCAUAGCCUUAAAAGCCCCUUUAAAACAAAAUGGAUGCCACGAACGGUCUAAUACCACAGUCCUUCAAAACCACUUAGCUUCUAAGUGUUAGUCUGUUUUAGCACAUAGCAACACCCAGGACUGCAUUUCAGUGUGAUACAAAUUAUCUGGUCUCUGUCUAAAGAGAGAUCUAAAGAAGAGAGUAGAUCUGUCAGGAAGUGGCUAGUUCCUGUGUGCCCUAUUUAAAAGCCAAGUGAACGGGGCUGCUUUCAAGAGCACAGGGGCUAGGUGAGAGUAGAUACAACACAACAUUACUGGGGCUAGGUGAGAGUAGAUACAGCACAACAUUACUGGGGCUAGGUGAGAGUAGAUACAACACAACAUUACUGGGGCUAGGUGAGAGUAGAUACAACACAACAUUACUGGGGCUAGGUGAGAGUAGAUACAACACAACAUUACUGGGGCUAGGUGAGAGUAGAUACAACACAACAUUACUGGGGCUAG